UACGUAGGCAGCGAGCGUUGUUCGGAGUUACUGGGCGUAAAGGGUGUGUAGGCGGUUCUUUAAGUUUGGUGGGAAAUCUCCCGGCUCAACCGGGAGGGUGCGCCGAAUACUGAGGGACUUGGAGUGCGGGAGAGGAAAGUGGAAUUCCUGGUGUAGCGGUGAAAUGCGUAGAUAUCAGGAGGAACACCGGUGGUGUAGACGGCUUUCUGGACCGUAACUGACGCUGAGACACGAAAGCGUGGGUAGCAAACAGG
rnacentral:rRNA from 1 species